GAUGAAGAACGUAGCGAAAUGCGAUACGUAAUGUGAAUUGCAAAUUCAGUGAAUCAUCGAGUCUUUGAACGCACAUUGCGCCCCCUGGUAUUCCGGGGGGCAUGCCUGUCCGAGCGUCAUUGCUGCCCUCAAGCACGGCUUGUGUGUUGGGCCCCGUCCUCCGAUCCCGGGGGACGGGCCCGAAAGGCAGCGGCGGCACCGCGUCCGGUCCUCGAGCGUAUGGGGCUUUGUCUCCCGCUCUGUAGGCCCGGCCGGCGCUUGCCGAUCAACCCAAAUUUUUAUCCAGGUUGACAUCGGAUCAGGUAGGGAUACCCGCUGAACUUAAGCAUAUCAAUAAGCGGAGG
rnacentral:misc_RNA from 1 species